rnacentral:rRNA from 1 species
UACGAAGGGGGCUAGCGUUGUUCGGAAUUACUGGGCGUAAAGGGCGCGUAGGCGGUGUGUCAAGUCAGGCGUGAAAGCCCCGGGCUCAACCUGGGAACCGCGCUUGAGACUGGCACGCUCGAGUUCGGGAGAGGAUGGUGGAAUUCCCAGUGUAGAGGUGAAAUUCGUAGAUAUUCGGAAGUACACCAGUGGCGAAGGCGGCUCACUGGACCGGUAUUGACGCCGAGGUGCGAAAGCGUGGGGAGCAAACAGG